rnacentral:lncRNA from 1 species
AGGAAGGGCUUACAAUCCCCACAUUGUUCUCCCACCCAUAUAAUUGAAACAGAAGAGCAUAAAAAAGAAAGAAGAGAAGGAAAAGCGUACAGGACAGAAAGGAAAAGAAACCAGCCUGAACCAAAUGCCUUGCAUUUUUCUGAUCAUCAUGAGAAAGAACUGUGCUGCUACCUUCAGAUUUCCACCAUAAAAGACUGCCAAUUGCCAGCCAGCUCUGAGAAAGAAGUGUUCUCCCUCAAUUCCAUCGCUUUUGUAUCCAUAUGCAACCAUGCCCACAUAACAGCUUUGAUUCUCAUGACUAAUUGCACAGCUGAAGUUGUGGCCUCCCUAAAUAUUUCCUCAUUUCUCACUGACCAGAUGCACCAGACCCAGACCACUGCAUAGGGCAGCAGAUUCCAGACCUUCUUUGCCAAUUCCCCUCCAGUCAAAGUUGGCCAUUGCUCCAUACACUGUUUGAGUGACUGCCACAUGCCCACAUGUUGAAACUGAGUCUUGCUGUCCUGCACACGCCGAUCAGUUCCGUCCACACAUGUUAUACAAUUUAUACAUAUUACUGCUGCUACAAUGUUGCUUUAACUUUUAUACAGACUAAUUAAAGAAGCGUUGAUAUGGAAAUAAGCUUAGUUUGUAUUAAACAUUUAACCCAAGGGCCAAGUCAGGAAAAGUUAAAACAAGCUCACAGAUUACUCCUUAAUGAUAUUCUUACGAUCAAACAAGACUUCAUAAGAGAAACCCCCACCCCCCACCCCACCCAAAAAAAAAAAAAAAUAGUUAUCAAUGAAUUAAGAAAUUAUUAGGUAUGCAUAAGAGAGUACCUCAAUGCCCACCUUGUGAAGAGGCUUACAUGGGGCAUAACAGCUAAGUUGAAUGGGUUUUCUCUGUACAUUACUUGAAAGUUGAAACACCACAAAAUCUCACUGGAUAUAACGAUACAAAAAAAAUGAUAGGGAUUAGAGUUUACCAACUUGGUCAGAAUAGUUGCCGUGUUAGAGAUAAUGGACCAAAAUGCUCACGAAUCAGAAGGUCUUUCUAAAUAUUCACAACCAUUGAAGAACACCAAAUAAAUACAAACAGGACACAUCUCAAAAUACGGCUUAGAACAAUUGACAACCAAAUUGGAAGCACAGGGGUCUGCGUCUGGCAAAAUAUGAUUUAUGUAGCAUUUAAGAUCUUCCUGAUUGACAUCUGAAGGUAUUCCUAGUUACCAUUCUUUUACAUUACAAGGCAGCAACAGCACUGUGUGUCAAUGUUAAAUGAAAUUGGCCAAUAGCAUCAAGGAAGGAAUCACUAGCAAUUAUUGGUUUACAAAGGGUGAAAAAUACGUCACUCGUACAAGAUCGUAACUUUGUAAACCACCAAUUCGAGUACGAGUGACGUAUUUUUCUUCAUCAAACAUGGUUAGUAAGAAA